UUGGAGGGCAAGUCUGGUGCAGCAGCCGCGGUAAUUCCAGCUCCAAUAGCGUAUAUUAAAGUUGUUGCAGUUAAAAAGCUCGUAGUUGAAUUUCGGGAUCAAUAUACCGGUCGUGCCUCAGGUAUGAACUGGUCUUAUUGGUUUCUCCCUUCUGACGAACCAUGAUGUCAUUAAUCUGAUGUCGUGGAGAAUCAGGACUGUUACUUUGAAAAAAUUAGAGUGUUUAAAGCAGGCUAACGCUUGAAUACAUUAGCAUGGAAUAAUGAAAUAGGACGUUCGAUCCUAUUUUGCUGGUUUCUAGGAUCGACGUAAUGAUUAAUAGGGAUAGUUGGGGGCAUUAGUAUUCAAUUGUCAGAGGUGAAAUUCUUGGAUUUAUUGAAGACUAACUACUGCGAAAGCAUUUGCCAAGGAUGUUUUCAUUAAUCAAGAACGAAAGUUAGGGGAUCGAAGACGAUCAGAUACCGUCGUAGUCUUAACCAUAAACUAUGCCGACUAGGGAUCGGAUGAUGUUAAUUUUAUAAUGACUCAUUCGGCGCCUUACGGGAAAC
rnacentral:rRNA from 1 species